rnacentral:rRNA from 1 species
AGCUCCACUAGCGUAUAUUAAAGCUGCUGCGGUUAAAAAGCUCGUAGUUAGCUCUCUGUCCCGGACCGGCGGAGGUUAAACCCUGAGCGGCACCUUCCGUCCGGCCUCCGAGCUAUAAACCGUGUGCUGCUUUACGCGUAACGCUCGGGAUGCCCUUCACCGGGUGUCCCUUGCGGGCCACAGUUCCACUUUGAACAAAUAAGAGUGCUCAGAGCAGGCAAAGUCCCAUGCCUGAAUGGUGGUGCAUAGAAUGGAGAAAGAGGUCCUCGGCUCUAUUUUAUUGGUUUUCUGAGCCAGAGGAAAUGAUUAAUAGGGACAGACGGGGGCAUUCGUACUGCGACGAUAGAGGUGAAAUUCUUAGACCGUCGCAUGACGAACCACUGCGAAAGCAUCUGCCAAGGAUGUUUUCA